AGCUAGUGUGGCAUAAUGAUUUAAGCAUUGGACUACAGCUCUGGAGAUGAGAGUUCAAAUCUCUUCUUGGCUA